AACAAUUUAACCAACUUAUCAUAAAUCAAGAAGAACCUAUUCUUACUAGGCAAUAUUCAUCAGCACACCAAUUUUCUUGGCAAAAGUUGGUCAAAACAAGCUAAGGCUAAGUCUUGGUUUUAAUAAUUCACAUGUCAAAAGGAUACACAAGGAAAACUGCUAAGCAACCCCUGAAGAAAGGCCAGCUUUAAGCAUAGAAGGAGACA
rnacentral:lncRNA from 1 species